rnacentral:pre_miRNA from 1 species
CCCUUAACUAUUAAAAGUUUCGUUUUGGUCCCUUAACUUACUUUUUGGUUUCGUUUUGGUCCCUUAACUCUUCCUCCGUCAACCACUUUGGUCCUUUAUGUUAGGAUGAAUGUAUUAGAGUUAAGGGACCAAAAUGAAAGCAAAAAAUAAGUUAAGGGACCAAAACGAGACCAAAAAAUAAGUUAAGGGACCAAAACGAAACUUUUAAUAGUUAAGGGACCAAAAGAUAACCCAAAAAUAAGUUAUGGGACCGAAACAAAACUUUUAAUAGUUAAGGAA